rnacentral:rRNA from 1 species
GGAAAAAAAAAAUCGGAACGUACCCAGAGGUGGGGGAUAACGCAGCGAAAGCUGUGCUAAUACUGCAUGUGAUCUGAGGAUGAAAGCGUGGGACCGAGCAGCAAUGUUUGGCCUCGCGCCUUUGGAGCGGCCGGUGUCGGAUUAGCUAGUUGGUGGGGUAAAGGCCUACCAAUGCGACGAUCCGUAGUUGGUCUGAGAGGACGACCAGUAACAUUGGGACUGAGACACGGCCCAGACUCCUAAGGGAGGCAGCAGUGGGGAAUUUUGGACAAUGGGCGUAAGCCUGAUCCAGCAAUGCCGCGUGCGGGAAGAAGUCCUUUUUUUUUU